AUUGAACGCUGGCGGCAUGCUUUACACAUGCAAGUCGAACGGCAGCGCGGGGGCAACCCUGGCGGCGAGUGGCGAACGGGUGAGUAAUGUAUCGGAACGUAUCCUGUAACGGGGGAUGACCAGUCGAAAGAUUGGGUAAUACCGCAUACGCACGAGAGUGGAAAGGGGAGGAUCGCAAUACUUCCCGUUAUAGGAGCGGCCGAAAUCUGAUUAGCUAGUUGGUGGGGUAAAGGCCUACCAAGGCGACGAUCAGUAGCUGGUCUGAGAGGAUGAUCAGCCACACUGGGACUGAGACACGGCCCAGACUCCUACGGGAGGCAGCAGUGGGGAAUUUUGGACAAUGGGCGAAAGCCUGAUCCAGCCAUGCCGCGUGCGGGAAGAAGGCCUUCGGGUUGUAAACCGCUUUAGUCUAGGAAAAAGGGGUGCGAGGUUAAUACCCUCGUGCUUUGAUGGUACUGGAAGAAUAAGCACCGGCUAACUACGUGCCAGCCGCCGCAGUAAUAC
rnacentral:rRNA from 1 species